ensembl:snoRNA
UUCAAAUGAUGAGUAAUUUAUUUGCGAUGGGCGGACUGAAAACGUGUAUUCAAUUAAACAUGUAGAAAAUCGCCGAACUGAUAAGA